rnacentral:rRNA from 1 species
CACGGGUGCGUAACGCGUAUGCAACCUGCCCCCAUCAGGGGAAUAGCCCGCCGAAAGGCGGAUUAAUGCCCCAUAGGCCCAGGGCGCCGCAUGGCGCUAUGGGUAAAGCUCCGGCGGAUGGGGAUGGGCAUGCGUGCCAUUAGCUAGUGGGCGGUAACGGCGCACCAAGGCGACGAUGGCUAGGGGGUCUGAGAGGAUGGUCCCCCACACUGGUACUGAGACACGGACCAGACUCCUACGGGAGGCAGCAGUGAGGAAUAUUGGUCAAUGGGCGGAAGCCUGAACCAGCCAUUGCCGCGUGCAGGAUGACGGCCCUACGGGUUGUAAACUGCUUUUCCCCGGGAAGAAUAAGCCCCUCGUGAGGGGUGAUGCCGGUACCGGGGGAAUAAGGAUCGGCUAACUCCGUGCCAGCCGCAGC